UCCGACCCACUCAAACUAACCCUAACCCUGCAUUCCAUUGUUUCCAUCAUGGGAAAUCUAAGUGACGCUCUCAAAUUAACAGGAACAUUGCGCAGAAGAUAUGUCCUGGGCAAUGGACUGAGAAAACGGGCAGAGAUUUGGAGGUAUUUGUGCAUGCUCUAUAUUACAGUUGAAAAAUGUAUAACAGCUUUCCAAUGCUGUUACUUGUGGCGAACACCUUUUUGCUUGAGUUGAUGCGUGCCCGCAGGUGGAAUAAUGUCACAUGUCACACACAUUUUCUGUUGUUUUGAUUUAUUUACUCAUUCAUCAUUUUAUGUGCGCACCUCUCCUAAUCAACCCACCCAUUAAAUAGACAGGCACAAUAGCACCAUCUGCUGGCACAAAAAAUACAUAACAAUAAACUGCAAAACCCCAAUCUGGCUCCUACAAAGUGUAUGUGACAAGAUGAUUAACGUUUGCUUUUGUUAAAUCAGGGCUUCCCCAGCCAGGACUUUGGCUCAGACUGUGGCAUAUUCAUGUUGAUGGUAGGUCAUAACGAGCUGUAAUGCACAAAUAUUGUAUCUAGAAUAACUUUCCAACAUGGACUUUUUUAAAGUUAUCUCACAUGUUGUCUCAUAAUUUUUUUUUAAAGUCUGCCAUGUACAUCGUUAUGGAGUCACAGUUUGACUACUCAGUUGUAAGUACUUUUCAACACGCAGUGUCAUCCUCAAGAUUGUAUUUUGUAUUGUGCACUAAAAUGAAAUACAAACAACAAUUUCAGCAUGACAUGCCUGUUUGGCGGCGAUGGUGGUGCCUGUUGCUCCUGGAGAACAAUUCUUUGAACAGGUAGACAGUUUAAGUAAACUAGAUGUCCUAAUUAACUGGAAGACAAUCAAUAUAUUGUACUUAAAGACAUAUUGUCAUUACAGUUGUGGGAAAAUCUUCACCCACUGGACCAAAGAAUGUCAAGAGCUCAUUGCUGGAAAGCAUACUCCGGUCUUCAGUCUAAAGAGGAAGGCAGAGCAGCAGGACAUAGAGGUUAGAAAAUUGCCUUGUAAAAACAGUAUUAUCUCAGUGGGAGUCCUUCAAAAUGCACACAGUUGUAUGGAUCAACAUUGUCUCGAUGUAUUUGGUAAUUGAUGUUACUUUUCAAAUUGCCUUGUCAAGGAAACCAUGACGCAGACGGUAUCGGAUGUCCAAAGAAUGUGCAUGGCAGAUUCAAUGCAAUUCUGUGUCUACCAGACAUCGAACAACACAGGAGAGAGGUGUGUUGCAGACUCAAUUUAAUAAAUGCAAUUAUCGGGGCCUAUUCAGUGAUUUUCCAUGAAGUGACCACUUUUACAUAUAGUUUAAAUGCACGAAUCAUGCAGGAAAAUUAUUUAUACAUUCAAAUGUGCUGCAGAGGUAUAAUCAAUUGGACAGCGUGUUUGUUUAAUAUUAUGUUUGUCUCUCAUUUGAUCAGAUUGCUUUACCCUGAGGUAAACGUCAUAAAAUGGGUCCAGUGCAAGACGUGCAGGGGCUGGCUGCAUCAGGAUUGUGCUGGGAUUGAAAUGGAGCCGUUUGACUGCGGGUGCGAGG